AGUGAACGCUGGCGGCAGGCCGAACACAUGCAAGUCGAACGGCAGCACAGUAAGAGCUUGCUCUAACUGGUGGCGAGUGGCGGACGGGCGAGGAAUACAGCGGAAUCUACUGUUUCGUGGGGGAUAACGUAGGGAAACUUACGCUAAUACCGCAUACGACCUACGGGUGAAAGCAGGGGAUCUUCGGACCUUGCGCGAUUGAAUGAGCCGAUGUCGGAUUAGCUAGUUGGCGGGGUAAAGGCCCACCAAGGCGACGAUCCGUAGCUGGUCUGAGAGGAUGAUCCGCCACACUGGAACUGCGACGCGGACCAGCCUCCUACGGGAGGCAGCGGUAGAGACUAUUGGACAAUGGUCGCAAGCCUGAUCCAGGCAUACCGCGUGGGUGCAGUAGGCCUUCCGGUUCUAAGGCCCUUCUGUUGUGGCAGUAUUGCCCCCGGUUGAUCCCCCGCUAAUCUUACGGCCCCAAAACAGUAGGCACCGGCUCUCUUCGUC
rnacentral:rRNA from 1 species